GAUGAACGCUAGCUACAGGCUUAACACAUGCAAGUCGAGGGGUAGCAGGGUAGCAAUACCGCUGACGACCGGCGCACGGGUGAGUAACACGUAUCCAACCUUCCCAUAACUCGGGGAUAGCCUUUCGAAAGAAAGAUUAAUACCCGAUAGUACUUUAUUAAGGCAUCUUAAGAAAGUUAAAGAUUUAUUGGUUAUGGAUGGGGAUGCGUUCCAUUAGAUAGUUGGUGAGGUAACGGCUCACCAAGUCUUCGAUGGAUAGGGGUUCUGAGAGGAAGGUCCCCCACAUGUGUACUGAGACACGGACCAAACUCCUACGGGAGGCAGCAGUGAGGAAUAUUGGUCAAUGGGCGAGAGCCUGAACCAGCCAAGUAGCGUGAAGGAUGAAGGUCCUAUGGAUUGUAAACUUCUUUUAUAGUAGAAUAAAGUGAACCACGUGUGGUUUUUUGUAUGUAUACUAUGAAUAAGGAUCGGCUAACUCCGUGCCAGCCGCCGCGGUAA
rnacentral:rRNA from 1 species